rnacentral:rRNA from 1 species
GACGAACGCUGGCGGCGUGCUUAACACAUGCAAGUCGAACGGAAAGGCCCUGCUUUUGUGGGGUGCUCGAGUGGCGAACGGGGGAGUAACACGUGAGUAACCUGCCCUUGACUUUGGGAUAACUUCAGGAAACUGGGGCUAAUACCGGUUAGGAGCUCCUGCUGCAUGGUGGGGGUUGGAAAGUUUCGGCGGUUGGGGCUGGACUCGCGGCUUAUCAGCUUGUUGGUGGGGUAGUGGCUUACCAAGGCUUUGACGGGUAGCCGGCCUGGGAGGGUGACCGGCCACCUUGCGCCUGCGAUACGCCCCAGACUCCUACGGGCGGCAGCAGUGGGGAAUCUUGCACAAUGGGCGGACGCCUGAUGCAGCAACGCCGCGUGCGGGAUGACGGCCUUCGGGUUGUAAACCGCUUUCGCCUGUGACGAGGCGUGAGUGACGGUACUGGGUAAAGAAGCACCGGCUAACUACGUG